AGAAAGAAAGAAAGAAAAAAAAAAGUAUCACAGCCCUCUGGCCAAUCAUUGAGUCAGGAGGGCAUGUGCCCUAAGCAAGAGCCCAGCUUGUUCAGCCCUGAGACUUUUAUUAGGGACUUCUUCUCUGGAGUUGCUGAAAGACAGUCUAGAACUGUCAUGGCCAUUGUCGCAACUACAUGGAGAGUCUGUCUGUGGGCGAAAAUGAUAAAGAAGAGUGCGGAGUAGAGUGUGAUACUGUGUCCAGAGACAUCAUUUGAGCCCCUGGAUUCAGCAAUGCCUUAAGAGAAUUUAUUCUUAGACUCCCCAGUUAUGAGUUAGUCAAUUCUCUUUUUUUUUUUUUUUGCUCAAAGAAAAAGAAAAAGAUGAGGAGAAGGAGAAGGAAAAUGAGAAGAAAAGUUAUCUAGGAAAAAAUUAUAUAUGCAUGAUGUCUAGAGUUCAGAUAUUGGGAAUUUCAUUUUUAAUGGUGCAGCUGUUAUUUAGAUUUUGUUUUACUUCAGUACUAAACACAAAAAUCAAAAAAACUUUCCAAAUGGAAAUAAUGUUUUGUUGUUUUUGCAAAGACAAAAGAUGAAUAGGGCACUGGCUCCGGUCUUAGAGGGUGGGUCUCCGUGGAGUCACUAUAAAGAAGAUGCAAAUCCAAGACUCAGCACAUGUUUGCAUGUGAGCAAUUCAUUAAUAUCUCUCUGUUAAUAUUCUCCAUCUGCAAAAUAGCUGUAGCAAACCUUCUUUAGGGCUCAUGGAGGUUAAGGGAGACCAUUUAUGUGCAUCCAGCACAGAGCCGUCACUCACUGCUAGGUGGCUACUCUCGCCAUGGCUCACGUUCCAGCAGAGAGAACUCAGAUAAAUAGUUCAAUGAGAAAGGGCUCUGGGAACUGGGAAUGGGAAACACCAGUUCAAUAAGGGGAAGAGUCACAAGCUGUGAUGAGAGAGUAGACCUUGAAGGAUGGAUGCGUGUUCAUCAGAAGACGUCAUAUCAAGCAGACAACAGUACAGGUGCCAGAUUGUGCUCAGAACACUGGAGGAGCUUAAAGAAGUAGCUGUGGCUGGACCAGAGACCCAGGUUCACAGUAAGGGACAUCAUGUGAGCUCAGAGGUCAGGCGGAGCUGAGGCUGUGGAGAAUGUGAACUUCGGCCUGAGGAACAGGAACUGUUGGGAGGUGAGAAACAGGAGAGCUGUGAUUUGGAUUGAGCAGAGUGGUAGCCCAUCUCCAGAUGGUACCCAAUGAGAUUCACCUCUGAGCAUCUAACACCCUCUGUCUCUUUCCACAGAGAGCAGGGCUGACCUGGGUAACUCAAUAAGAUGGUGCCAAAUGUUGCAGUGUGACUUCUGAGACUAGAUCAUGGAAGACAUCAUGGCUCCACCUGUGCUCUCUUGGAUCACUUGCUUCAGGGGAAGCCAGGGGCCACAUCGUGAGGACACUCAGCUAUCCCUAUGGAAAGGCCCAUGUGGUCUGCCAUAUGGAAGUACCCUGAACUGGGUGGCUUCAAACAACGGAAACAUAUUGUCUCAUAGUUGUGGAAGCUGGAAAUCCAAAAUCAAGGUGUUGGCAGAGCCAUGCUGCUUCUGAAACCUGCAGGGGUUGGUUGUGUGUGGGGGGUCGUUUCUUGCCUCUUGUAACUUCUGGUGUUUGUUGGCAAACAAUUUCUGGUGUGCCUUGUCUGGUAGAGGCAUCCCUGUGACCUCUGCUCCUGUUGUCACGUGUGUGUGUGUCUUCUCCUCUUCUGACAAGGACAUGUCAUAUUGGAUUAAGGGCCCACCUACUCCAGUGUGACCUCAUCUUAACUUAUAUCUUCAUCACAUCCUCAAAGACCCUAUUUCCAAAUAAGGCCACCUUCUGAGCUACUAGGGGUUAGGAUCACAACGUAUCUUUUUAGGGGAAAACACUAUUCAACUAAUAAUAUUCUCCAAAUCCAGUGAGGCCUUCAACCAGCUGCAGCCCUGGCUGACAUCUUGACUGUAGCCUCAUGAGAGACCCAUUUUCCUGCCCCACAAAACUGGGUGAAUUAACAAUGUCCAUGCUUGUUUUAAGCCAUUAAGUUUUGGGGCAGUUUGUUCUGUGGGAAUAGGUAACUAACAUUCAAAGGGGGGUUAGGGAGUGAAAGACUGAAGCCAGCAGACCAGGACCUUUCUCUGGCCUGAGAAGCAACACGGCCCCCCAAGCAGUCCUACUCACAGAUCUUCAGGCCACAUCAGCUCUUGUCUCAAAUCUAGGCCUUUGUGCACAAUACAUUUCAUACUUUUAUGCCUUUCUAUGUUGUCCUAUAUAAACCCACUUUGUUGAGAAAUUCUUCUUUGAGUGGUCAUUUCACUUGAGCAGUUCCGGGUUUCACUGAGAAUCGGAGCGGCUAACUCACCGCCGGUCCUCUCUGAGCAGAUCUGCUGUGCUGGGACACCUCCGGGUGCCUCCUCCUGGUUCAAUACGCCAUGGCUGGGGGUUGGGGGCUCAGAUACCAAGCAGGGCCACCUGUGGGGAAAAGUGGCCUAGGUGGGUUUCCCUCAGCAGGGGCUCCGAACAGGCCUCUGUCUUGGGAGCGGACGUGGUGGACUCUGGGACUUGGCAGUCUGUGAGGAGGCGUGGUUUUUUCCUCUCUAAGAACAGGGCUUUUAAAUCCAGUGUGAAUACAGCUCACUGUGCCUCUCACUUCCCGUGUGAGAAAAACCACAGAAAAGCACAGCUGCACCUACAUGAGAAACCACGCAAACCAAGCUACUUCCCCCAAGACUGGUUUAGCCAAAAAUGCAUUUGAUUUCCUGUCUCCAUGUUGUGGUCAAGAUUGCCAUUUGCUUCCUGCAUUUCAGGACUACAAUCGAC